rnacentral:rRNA from 1 species
UACGUAGGGUGCAAGCGUUGUCCGGAAUUAUUGGGCGUAAAGAGCUCGUAGGCGGUUCGUCACGUCGGCUGUGAAAUCCCGAGGCUCAACCUCGGGUCUGCAGUCGAUACGGGCGGACUGGAGUACUGCAGGGGAGACUGGAAUUCCUGGUGUAGCGGUGAAAUGUGUAGAGAUCGGGAGGAACACCAGUGGCGAAGGCGAGUCUCUGGGAUGAUGCUGACGCUGAGGCGCGAAAGCCAGGGGAGCAAACGGG